rnacentral:rRNA from 1 species
UACGAAGGGGGCUAGCGUUGCUCGGAAUCACUGGGCGUAAAGGGUGCGUAGGCGGGUCUUUUAAGUCAGGGGUGAAAUCCUGGAGCUCAACUCCAGAACUGCCUUUGAUACUGAAGAUCUUGAGUUCGGGAGAGGUGAGUGGAACUGCGAGUGUAGAGGUGAAAUUCGUAGAUAUUCGCAAGAACACCAGUGGCGAAGGCGGCUCACUGGCCCGAUACUGACGCUGAGGCGAGACUG